CUGAGGCAACAUGCGUCUGAAACAAACUACAGUCAUUUGUUUCUUUCCUAAAAUAUUCAGCUGAAAUUUCUAUGAUGUGGGACAAAAAAAGAGACAAUAUUGUUUAACAAGUCAGACAAAUUUAGUGCUUACCGGUACUUUAAGAUAUUGGCUUUUCAGCUGAGCAGGACUGACCUGCAAGAGAAACCAUCUCAGACUACACUGUUACCAAAGCUUUGCUACAGCAAGCACAUUGCUAUGUGCAAAUCCUCAGUGGCUUAUCAGGUGGGUAGCAGAAAGAUCCAAUGUUUAAGAGUUUUUCUGCUGACUGUGUAAAAAUAAGUGCAGCCUGACCUCCCCAUGUGUCUGCGUCUGCGCUGGGACAGAAACUGGGACAGAAAGUCUUUGUCUGCUCUCUGGGGACAGAAAGCUUGGUACUUCUGUUCAUUAAGGGACAACCCUUUUCUCUUUUCAAGUCAACGCAUAGCAUCAAUGCGCAGGUAAUAUGUGAUGCCACACACCUCAUCACAAACAUUGAAGCCAAAUGGCCAGGAUCUGUUCAUGAUGCCAGAAUUUUUAGGGAGUCAUCCUUUUGCCCCAAAUUUCACCAAGGACACUUCAAUGUAUACUUGCUGGGGGACAGGGGCUAUCCUUGUCUGCCAUAUCUGAUGACCCUCUACCCUGAACCUCAGCCUGGACCACAGGCACAAUUCAACCGGGCCCACAGCAGAACCCGGGUCAGGGUGGAGAUGACUAUCGGCAUCCUGAAGGCAAGAUUUCAGUGCCUACGCGGGCUCAGGGUCAGGCCAGAGAGGGCAUGUGACAUCACAGCUGCAUGUGUUGUUCUUCACAACAUCUCCAAAUUGAGAGAGGAGAGGGCCCCGCCAUCAAGUGGAUGCCCCAUUGAACCCAGCUGACCAAAGAGAUGGCAGGGUGGUACAGGGCAUGAUUAUUUAAAAUUAUGUCUAAUAAAAAUCAAGACUCAAA